rnacentral:rRNA from 1 species
ACUCCUACGGGAGGCAGCAGUGGGGAAUAUUGGACAAUGGGCGAAAGCCUGAUCCAGCCAUGCCGCGUGUGUGAAGAAGGCCUUUUGGUUGUAAAGCACUUUAAGCGAGGAGGAGGCUACUUGGGUUAAUACNCUAGGAUAGUGGACGUACUCGCAGAAAUAAGCACCGGGCUAACUCUGUGCCAGCAGCCGCGGUAAUACAGAGGGUGCGAGCGUUAAUCGGAUUUACUGGGCGUAAAGCGUGCGUAGGCGGCUUUUUUAAGUCGGAUGUGAAAUCCCUGAGCUUAACUUAGGAAUUGCAUUUCGAUACUGGGAAGCAUAGAGUAUGGGAGAGGAUGGUAGAAUUCCAGGUGUAGCGGUGAAAUGCGUAGAGAUCUGGAGGAAUACCGAUGGCGAAGGCAGCCAUCUGGCCUAAUACUGACGCUGAGGUACGAAAGCAUGGGGAGCAAACAGGAUUAGAUACCCUGGUAGCGAGUAG